CCCUUAGAUGUUCUGGGCCGCACGCGCGCUACACUGAUGCAUUCAACAAGCCUAGCCUUGACCGAGAGGUCCGGGUAAUCUUUGAAACUGCAUCGUGAUGGGGCUAGAUUAUUGCAAUUAUUAAUCUUCAACGAGGAAUGCCUAGUAAGCGUGAUUCAUCAAAUCGCGUUGAUUACGUCCCUGCCCUUUGUACACACCGCCUGUCGCUCCUACCGAUUGAAUGUGUUGGUGAGGAGCUCGGAUUGGCAGCAGUUGGUGGUUCGCCACCGGCUAUUGCUGAGAAGUCCUCCAAACCGCCCCAUUUAGAGGAAGGAGAAGUCGUAACA
rnacentral:rRNA from 1 species